rnacentral:rRNA from 1 species
UUCUGUUCACGCUCCUCCAUCGUGCACAGGGCCGUAGUUCUAUGGUCUGGGGGACACCUUGUCUUCCUCCUGUAGUUCUAUGUCUUUACCCGUACACCGUACCGAAGUCUUAUGGAAUGUGCACCGCGUUUAACGCAAUACAAUACAACUUUCAGCAACGGAUCUCUUGGCUCUCGCAUCGAUGAAGAACGCAGCGAAAUGCGAUAAGUAAUGUGAAUUGCAGAAUUCAGUGAAUCAUCGAAUCUUUGAACGCACCUUGCGCCCCUUGGCUAUUCCGAGGGGCAUGCCUGUUUGAGUAUCAUGAACACCUCAACUCUCAUGGUUUGCCAUGAUGAGCUUGGACUUUGGGGGUUUUGCUGGCCUGCGGUCAGCUCCUCUCAAACGGAUCAGCUUACCAGUAUUUGGUGGCGUCACGGGUGUGAUAAUUAUCUACACUUGUGGUUGUCUGCUGAGUAACCUUUGGCGACAGGGGUUUGCUGGAGCUUAUAAAUGUCUCUCCCCAGCGAAGACAGCUUUUUGACCGUUCGAUCUCAAAUCAGGUAGGACUACCCGCUGA